rnacentral:lncRNA from 1 species
AAGGCAAAAUGCGCAAAGGCUAGUAGGGCUGCCCCGCGAGGCAGCACCGGGAACAAAUGAACAAGAUGUUGAACAAGUUAAAAGAGUUUGAUUAACUGAGUACUGAAUGAUUACAUGGGCUAAUCGAAGUAUAAUUGUUCAAACGGCGCAAAGCACCACACUUGCAGGAAAAAAGAAAACAAAAGAAGAUACAUCAGGAAGCAGUAAAGACGGCUGGGGGCAGCGGCAACUAGUUGCUGGCGUCUCCGGCCGAGGGCUCGGCGGGC